CAUUAGAUGGCUGAAAGUAAGCGAUGGAUUUUUAAAUCAUUGAUAGUAAAUAACACCUACUUCUAAUG
rnacentral:tRNA from 1 species